UACAGAGGGGGCAAGCGUUGUUCGGAAUUACUGGGCGUAAAGGGCGCGUAGGCGGCCCGCUAAGUCGAACGUGAAAUCCCCGAGCUCAACUCGGGAACUGCGUCCGAUACUGGUGGGCUUGAAUCCGGGAGAGGGAUGCGGAAUUCCAGGUGUAGCGGUGAAAUGCGUAGAUAUCUGGAGGAACACCGGUGGCGAAGGCGGCCGCCUGGGCCAGUCCUGACGCUGAGCCGCGAAAGCGUGGGGAGCGAUCCGG
rnacentral:rRNA from 1 species